rnacentral:lncRNA from 1 species
AUGUCACCUCACUCUAUACUAACAUUCUUUCUAGAUGAGGCUCGUACCAUCAUAGAGAAUAUCCUUCGUAGGAGAACAAAAUUGCAACCACCUACACAUUUCUUGAUGGACCUGUUAGAUAUAGUACUGGAGAAAAAUUAUUUCCAUUUUCAAAACCAAUUUUACUUUCAGACCUUCGGUGUCGCUAUGGGAAGUCUGUUAGCCCCAUCGAUUGCCAAUCUAUUCAUGGCACAUUUAGAAAACACUAUAUUGCUUAAUCCAUCUUUAAAUAUGUACUAUGCUAAUAUAAUAUACUAUGGCCGAUUCAUUGAUGAUAUAUUCAUAGUAUUUAAAACAACUGAAGCCGCAGUAGGAUUCUCUAAUUGGAUUAACACUAUACAUACGUCUAUUAAAUUUACCAGUCAUCUCAACCUGUCACAUAUCAAUUUUUUAGAUGUUACUGUGUAUAAACAUCAUAACAAACUGUUGGUCAAGAACUUCAGAAAACCAUCAGAUAAGAAUUCUUUUCUUCAUUAUAACAGCUUCCACCACUUUGGUUUAAAGACCAAUCUUCCAUUUUCACAACUACUUAGACUAAAGCGUAACUCAAGCUCUAAUGAACACUUCAUUCAUGAAAGCCUGACCUUAAGCCAGGAGUUUAGAAGUAGAGGCUAUCCUAAACAUGUCAUCAAAAAGGCAUUAAUUAAAGCUGAAAAAACUGAUAGAACCACCCUACUGAAAGAAUCUGCUAAACCAACUAAAAAUCAAAUUAUCUGGACACAAGAAUUAUCACAUUACUCCAAACACAUAAUCCAAAUUAUAAAAAAACACUGGCAUCUUCUUCAAGAUAUUUCAGGUUGCGAUAAAUUACCUAUUUUUGGAAACAGGCGUACUAAAAAUAUUAGAGAAUAUUUAAUCCAUACAGAUUUAACCACUCCUAUUAGUACACCAAAGAGCACCCUGAGAGGCCAUUAUCCUUGUGGUCACUGUAAGUGUUGUCCUCAAUCUUGGAAGACUAAGGAGAUAUAUAAUCAUAGGAACAAAGUGGGCACCACACUAAAACAUUUUUCUACUUGUAAUAGCAACAAUGUAAUCUACCUCUUGACAUGUGACUGUGAUCUCUGGUAUAUUGGAAAAACAACCAGAUCCUUGAGAAUCAGAAUCUCUGAACAUAAAUCCAGAAUCAAAAAUUUAUCUACAGAAUCUCUUUUAUAUUCACACUUCACCCAAUACAAACAUUCACCUACCUCAUUUAAAUUUUGUGUUCUGGAAUGCAUCUCUCAAAAACCUUUCAUGGACUUGGAAAAACUAUUAUCCCAAAGGGAAAUGUACUGGAUCUUUAAGUUUAAAACCUUUUCCCCUCAGGGACUUAAUGAAUCACUUAAUUUUAGCUGUUUCCUUUAA